rnacentral:rRNA from 1 species
GACAGCAGCCGCCACGGUAAUACGGAGGGUGCAAGCGUUAAUCGGAAUUACUGGGCGUAAAGCGUGCGCAGGCGGUUAUAUAAGACAGAUGUGAAAUCCCCGGGCUCAACCUGGGAACUGCAUUUGUGACUGUAUAGCUAGAGUACGGCAGAGGGGGAUGGAAUUCCGCGUGUAGCAGUGAAAUGCGUAGAUAUGCGGAGGAACACCGAUGGCGAAGGCAAUCCCCUGGGCCUGUACUGACGCUCAUGCACGAAAGCGUGGGGAGCAAACAGGAUUAGAUACCCCCGUAGUCCCUGUCUCUUAUAU